rnacentral:rRNA from 1 species
UACGGAGGUUCCAAGCGUUAUCUGGAAUCAUUGGGUUUAAAGGGUCCGUAGGCGGUUUAAUAAGUCAAUGGUGAAAGCCCAUCGCUCAACGGUGGAACGGCCAUUGAUACUGUUAAACUUGAAUUAUUAGGAAGUAACUAGAAUAUGUAGUGUAGCGGUGAAAUGCUUAGAGAUUACAUGGAAUACCAAUUGCGAAGGCAGGUUACUACUAAUGGAUUGACGCUGAUGGACGAAAGCGUGGGUAGCGAACAGG